rnacentral:rRNA from 1 species
GACGAACGCUGGCGGCGUGCUUAGCACAUGCAAGUCGAACGGAAAGGCCCUGCUUGCAGGGUACUCGAGUGGCGAACGGGUGAGUAACACGUGGGUGAUCUGCCCUGCACUUCGGGAUAAGCCUGGGAAACUGGGUCUAAUACCGGAUAGGAGCCAUUUUUAGUGUGAUGGUUGGAAAGUUUUUUUCGGUGUAGGAUGAGCUCGCGGCCUAUCAGCUUGUUGGUGGGGUAAUGGCCUACCAAGGCGGCGACGGGUAGCCGGCCUGAGAGGGUGGACGGCCACAUUGGGACUGAGAUACGGCCCAGACUCCUACGGGAGGCAGCAGUGGGGAAUAUUGCACAAUGGGCGCAAGCCUGAUGCAGCGACGCCGCGUGGGGGAUGACGGCCUUCGGGUUGUAAACUCCUUUCGCUAGGGACGAAGCUUUUUGUGACGGUACCUAGAUAAGAAGCACCGGCUAACUACGUG